rnacentral:rRNA from 1 species
AGCUCCAAUAGCGUAUAUUAAAGUUGUUGCGGUUAAAAAGCUCGUAGUUGGAUUUUUGAGCUUCGACGAUUGGUCCGGUUUAUCCGCGUACUGAUGGUGAGGUUCUUCUGUCUGGAGAGGAUGUGUGUCGCUUGAUUGAGGCGCGCGUUCGAUCUAGGACUUUUACUUUGAACAAAUUAGAGUGUUUAAAGCAGGCCUACGCCUUGAAUACAUUAGCAUGGAAUAACGUAUAGGACUUUGGUUCUAUUUUGUUGGUUUUAAGGACCAAAGUAAUGAUUAAUAGGGACAGUUGGGGGCAUUAAUAUUUAAUUGUCAGAGGUGAAAUUCUUAGAUUUAUGAAAGAUUAACUUCUGCGAAAGCGUUUGCCAAGGAUGUUUUCAUUGAUCAAGAACGAAAGUAG